rnacentral:rRNA from 1 species
AUGGAUUUAGAAACCAGUCUGUUCAAACAAGGAUGGCGUGGCGGCGACGGCAUCCUCGUGGUGGACCUGUGUCCUCAAGCUCCGUCGUUGCGACGAUGUUUGCUCCAGCGUCGACGCGGAGCUUGGGAGGUAGUCCAGGAGCGGAUGCAGAUUGUGGACUGCAUCGACGACAUCUGGAAGACGGAACGUGUGAUGAGUUCAUGGUUCGUGGAUGGCAGAUAUGGUUUCCUCCUUCGGUGUCUUAGUCGUGGUGAGGUGCUACAUUUGGAGUUCGAUGGUGUGUCCGGGGUGUUGCCCUGGUCUGAUUCGUUCAACGUCAAUGGCUUCACUUUUGGUGAGCCACCUUGGAGGUCCGCAAAGCUGCAUAUCAGCGAUGGAGCCGCGUCGAGCUCGGGUGGGGGGGGUGAUUUGUCAUUCUUUUCUUCGGUGGCUGUUGUGGUGCCCAUCCACCUUCUCCCUCUUCGCGCCGUCAGUCCGAUCCCAUCCACCUCCACCCUCUCCCGCUCCGGCGCUCUGCAUGGUUCGAAGGAAGAUCACGUAGUACGCAAUGCUCACGCCGAAGCACCGACACGAGAUCCAGUAGGAGAUCCGGGCGAGACAAGCCGCGUGCGCCGCCCGCAUUGCUACCAGGCUGCCUCCAGACUCCUUGGAGCCAAAGGAGGAGGAGGAGCAGCCGGGGGAAGAGGAGGGAGAGGAGUUGGCUGCGAUGGAGGUGGAGGAGAUGGAGCAGCUAGAGCCGGAGCUACUGGACUUCAACAUGGAGCAGGCGGACACGGAGUUCAUAGUCGCCCAAUCGGAGGAGAUGCCGGAGUAGCAGGCCAUCCCGGAGUCCAUACAGGAGAAGGCCUAUGUGAAGGCCAACCGGGCACUCCUCCAGUAGGAGCAGACGACGUCCGACGCGCUCUUCACGGAACUCGACGCCGAGGUAGAGGAGGAGGAGCCGGACCGGAGCAGCCGGAGGAGCCGGAGCUACAGCCGCCGCCCAUACUGCCAGAGCUGGGCACGGAGAUCGUCGACAUCUCCGACAACGAGCAGACCCAUGGGUCCCAGUUUAGAGGCAAGGUUGCCUCCAGCACUGGAGAUGCUCUUACAGGGCCAUCCCCGGCUCGGGCGAGAAGUAGUGGUAGCAGCAGGCAGCAGCAAUGCUGCGUUUGCUCCUCGUCCCCGGAUGAGUGGACCGACUCUCAUCGCUACAAAAAAACCGACACUUCAAGGGAAGAACCAUUCGCAGGGCAUGCCGCGCGCGGAAAGAUCAUCUAUAACACUGAAGCGUCACGUGUCCCGGAGACAUCCUGGCCGCCGCCGCCGCCGGCAGCGGCGGUGGUGGCGGCGCCCGGCCGCCAAAGGCGGCGGGCAAGAUCUGCACGCCCUGACAUGGCUCCUUCGCGCGGGGGAGCACCGUCUUGUGGGCGUCGUGACGGCUGGCGGUUCUGGUGCGGUGGCGCGCGGCAGAGAGCACUGGAGGAGGAGGAGCACGGUCUCGAGGUGGAGAGGGGCGGCGGUCUUCCUCGGGCGCCGGCGUGUGUGUCGGAGGCCGCGGCGCGGGGUCCCUGGCGGUUGCAGAUCUCGGAAUGGAGUGGUGACCGGGCGCGGCGGUCGGGAGUCGCGGUGGUGUCCAAGGCGUGCGGUGUGCUUCCUGCCGGCGCUGGAGUGGCUCGGGGAAGGCAGCGCCUUGGAUUGCUGGUGGUGGCGCGGUCAGGAUCUGGCCAGAGCUCGGCUCAGGAAAUCGCAAAGGGAGCGCCUUGGUGGUGUGUGCAUUCGCUGGAGGCGCAGCGCGCUGGCUCCUGCCCCCACGCCUAUGGUGCCGGCGGGUCUUGGCAGCGCCAGGGAGGGUGGCUUGGAGCUGGUGACGUUUGUCUUUCGACCGUGCAGGAGCUGGAGGUUGGCCGGCGUGCUCUCGGCUGUGUGAUGGGUCGGUGUUCCGCGACGGUUUUGGCCAUGAUGGCAAGGCGCUGCUGCAACGGCGGUCUGGCGGCGACGGCGCCUGAGGGUGUCGUUUCCCUCCUUGGAGGCGUCGCUGAGAUCGAGCGGUCAAAACAGAUCACGCCCUCAUCGAUUCUUUCCACUCCCUCGACACCACCUCCCCUCCACCCGGCGGCGCCCCCUCCUUUCUCCCCACCUGCCUUCCUCUCCAUCUGGCGGCGCCUCCUCCCUCCUUCCCACGGCAUCCCGCACCGCGCGCCACCGGCUAGCUGCACCACCAUCGCAUCCUCAUAUACUCCAGCCCACUAUGCCAGCGAGAGAGGAAGCUGCGGGAGGAGGAGAGCCCAUCCCGUGAGGAAGACGUGGGGAGGAGCUCUACCCGUCUCAGUUGCUGGCCGGGGUCUGGAAGAAGAGGAGACCCAGUGCCGGCAUCGGCUCCAGCGAUGCGGGUUGACGGCCAGUGCAGGCGAGCGCGGCGUGCAGUGCGGUGCCCUAGACAGGUGGCAACGGCCGUCAAGACAGGAGAGGCGCCGUGAGCGACGACCCUUGGUCGUCUUCAGGUGCGCGUCGUCCGUGGUGGCCGAUCAUGGGUGUUGGCUGGUGGCCGGAGGCCCCUGCAGUAGGCCGGUGCCCCUUAGCAAGAUUGGCACGAACUGGGAAGGCAACCGGUGUGUAAAGGGGCUGCUCAGUUUUGAAACAACAAAUGUGUGUGUGUUCGUCGUUUCUCCUUUCUUCUCACAUGAAGAUGGGGCUGCUCAGUUUUGGAACAACAAACCAUGGAGGAUAUGGGUCUGCACGGGCUUGGAGCAGGAAGCCAUGGCGGCCAAGGCUAAGUGCUCAUGCUAUGGAAGCGACGAGGGCUGCCACAGUGUUGACAAGGUUUUGGUGUUCUCCAUGCCAUUUUUUCUCAUAAUCCCCGAGGGCUACCGAUUUGAUCUUUUGUUGUUCCUGGUGUACCGAUUUGUGAAACUCACCUCUUAUGUCAAGGUGGGAAGCUUGGCUGAUUCCACCUUCACAUUUAAAGAAGUGGCAAUAAUUAGCCAUCCUCGUGCUGGUGAAUACGCAUUUGGGUUUAUAACAUCGAGCAUGAUUCUUCAGGUACAGUCAAAAACUUUCCCCGUCCCCCAGGCCCUGUGGGCUGCGAUUGAACUUAGAUUUCUAAUCCCUAGCUUAACUUCCUAUGAUAGGCGGAAGUUGCUUUUCCCAAACUACUUGCAUCUAUAUGAUAAGCGUUUGCUGAAAAGAUCAAAACAGCUGGCAUCUGGCUCAUUAGAUACUUGCACUAGCAAAUCAAUCUCUCUUUCUCUCAUCUACAGGCAGGUCACGGCUAACAUCAUUGAGCAUCAACGGCAAGCAACAAGUGACCAGCAGCAUGAAGCGACAACGGCAAGUAGCAAACAACACCAACAGCGGCGGCGAUUUCUCACCCUGCUGUUAGUGGCGAGGUCGGACAGAGCAGAGCAACGAGCUAUGGGCAGUGGUAAUGGCGGUCAGCGUCAGGAAGAAGUAGGAGGGAUCCGCGGCUUCAAAUCUGUGGUCCAGAGCAGAUGUGGACAAAGCAGAGCCCCUCAAAGUCCCUAUAGCUGUUCGGUGAGGAUGACGACCGCGGCGGCUGACGGAACCGAGGAAGGCGGCCUCGGUCCAAGAGCAAGGGGAAGUGGGGAACUACCUGGGAGCAAGAACGCACUAGAAAACGAGGCGAUUCACGGCGCCGUCCAGCUGGCGUGCAUGUCGAAGCUGGAGGCAUGGACGUCGAUCCAGACUGAGGGCUGCCGAAUCCCGCCGGUUCCUGUGACCGGCGUUGCAACGACGAGCGGCGGUGCCCCCGGCGAGCUAGACGAGAGAGGGGAUCCAAGAGAAGAGGAUAUGAAGUGA